rnacentral:rRNA from 1 species
GACGUAGGGGACGAGCGUUGUCCGGAUUCAUUGGGCGUAAAGCGCGCGCAGGCGGCCGUGUAAGUCGGGUGUGAAAUCCCGGAGCUCAACUCCGGAACUGCACUCGAAACUGCACGGCUCGAGGUAGGUAGGGGAGAUCGGAAUUCCUGGUGUAGCGGUGGAAUGCGCAGAUAUCAGGAGGAACACCGGUGGCGAAGGCGGAUCUCUGGGCCUUACCUGACGCUCAGGCGCGAAAGCUAGGGGAGCGAACAGG